AAGGAUCAUUACAGAGUUCAUGCCCUCACGGGUAGAUCUCCCACCCUUGAAUAUUAUACCUUAGUUGCUUUGGCAGGCCGGGGCAACCCCCGGGGCUUCGACCUUGGUGUGCCUGCCAGAGGAAACAAACUCUGUUUUUAGUGAUGUCUGAGUACUAUAUAAUAGUUAAAACUUUCAACAACGGAUCUCUUGGUUCUGGCAUCGAUGAAGAACGCAGCGAAAUGCGAUAAGUAAUGUGAAUUGCAGAAUUCAGUGAAUCAUCGAAUCUUUGAACGCACAUUGCGCCCCGUGGUAUUCCGCGGGGCAUGCCUGUUCGAGCGUCAUUUCAACCCAUCAAGCUUCGGCUUGGUCUUGGGGCCUGCGAUUCCGCAGCCUCUAAACCCAGUGGCGGUGCCUCCGAGCUCUGAGCGUAGUAAUUCUUCUCGCUAUAGGGUCUCGGUGGUGUCUUGCCAGUAACCCCCAAUUUUUUACAGGUUGACCUCGGAUCAGGUAGGGAUACCCGCUGAACUUAAGCAUAUCAAUAAGCGGAGGAAAAGAAACCAACAGGGAUUACCUCAGUAACGGCGAGUGAAGCGGUAACAGCUCAAAUUUGAAAUCUGCCGCAAGGCCGAGUUGUAAUUUGUAGAAGAUGCUUUGGGUAUGGCCCCGGUCUAAGUUCGUUGGAACACGACGUCAUAGAGGGUGAGAAUCCCGUAUGUGACUGGGUGCUUUUGCCUAUGUAAAGCUCUUUCGACGAGUCGAGUUGUUUGGGAAUGCAGCUCAAAAUGGGUGGUAUAUUUCAUCUAAAGCUAAAUAUUGGCCAGAGACCGAUAGCGCACAAGUAGAGUGAUCGAAAGAUGAAAAGCACUUUGGAAAGAGAGUUAAACAGUACGUGAAAUUGUUGAAAGGGAAGCGCUUGCAACCAGACUUGCACGCUGUUGAUCAUCCAGGCUUCUGUCUGGUGCACUCGGCAGCGUUCAGGCUAGCAUCGGUUCUGGUGGUGGGAUAAAGGCCUUGGGAAUGUAGCUUCUUUCGGGGAGUGUUAUAGCCCUCGGUGCAAUGCCGCCUAUCGGGACCGAGGACCGCGCUUCUGCUAGGAUGCUGGCGUAAUGGUUGUAAGCGAC
rnacentral:rRNA from 1 species